UUCCUUAGUACGGCGAGUGAAGCGGCAAAAGCUCAAAUUUGAAAUCUGGCGUCUUCGACGUCCGAGUUGUAAUUUGAAGAAGGCGACUUUGUAGCUGGUCCUUGUCUAUGUUCCUUGGAACAGGACGUCAUAGAGGGUGAGAAUCCCGUGUGGCGAGGAUCCCAGUUAUUUGUAAAGUGCUUUCGACGAGUCGAGUUGUUUGGGAAUGCAGCUCUAAGUGGGUGGUAAAUUCCAUCUAAAGCUAAAUAUUGGCGAGAGACCGAUAGCGAACAAGUACAGUGAUGGAAAGAUGAAAAGAACUUUGAAAAGAGAGUGAAAAAGUACGUGAAAUUGUUGAAAGGGAAGGGCAUUUGAUCAGACAUGGCGUUUGCUUCGGCUUUCGCUGGGCCAGCAUCAGUUUUAGCGGUUGGAUAAAUCCUCGGGAAUGUGGCUCUGCUUCGGUAGAGUGUUAUAGCCCGUGGGAAUACAGCCAGCUGGGACUGAGGAUUGCGACUUUUGUCAAGGAUGCUGGCGUAAUGGUUAAAUGCCGCCCGUCUUGAAACACGGACCAAA
rnacentral:rRNA from 1 species